UACAGAGGUCCCAAGCGUUGUUCGGAUUCACUGGGCGUAAAGGGUGCGUAGGUGGCGAGGUAAGUCGGAUGUGAAAGCUCGGAGCUCAACUCCGAAAUGGCAUUGGAAACUACCUUGCUCGAGGGUUGGAAGGGGGACUGGAAUUCUCGGUGUAGCAGUGAAAUGCGUAGAUAUCAGGAGGAAUACCGAUGGCGAAGGCAGCCCCCUGGGUCGAUACUGACGCUCAUGCACGAAAGCGUGGGGAGCAAACAGG
rnacentral:rRNA from 1 species